AACGCACCUUGCACUCCUUGGUAUUCCGAGGAGUACACCUGUUCGAGUGUCGUGAAAAUCUCAAGUCGGGGAUGUUUAUUCAUCCUUCGAUUUGGUUUUGGGCUUUGCUGUGUCACAACGGCUGGCCUUAAAAGUAUUAGCUGAAUCUCGGUAUGGGACUGGUUUGACUCGGCGUGAUAAUUUACUAGAUCGCUGAGGACAUUCUUCGGAGUGGCCAGAUUCAUCCUUGAAUCGCUUCUAAUCUUGGUCUAAUCCUUUACUGGAUUUUUCCAAAUCUUUUUUCAUGUUUGGCCUCGAAUCAGGUGGGACUACCCGCUGAACUUAA
rnacentral:misc_RNA from 1 species